UGGGGAAUAUUGGACAAUGGGCGCAAGCCUGAUCCAGCCAUGCCGCGUGAGUGAUGAAGGCCCUAGGGUUGUAAAGCUCUUUCACCGGUGAAGAUAAUGACGGUAACCGGAGAAGAAGCCCCGGCUAACUUCGUGCCAGCAGCCGCGGUAAUACAAAGGGGGCUAGCGUUGUUCGGAUUUACUGGGCGUAAAGCGCACGUAGGCGGACUUUUAAGUCAGGGGUGAAAUCCCGGGGCUCAACCCCGGAACUGCCUUUGAUACUGGAAGUCUUGAGUAUGGUAGAGGUGAGUGGAAUUCCGAGUGUAGAGGUGAAAUUCGUAGAUAUUCGGAGGAACACCAGUGGCGAAGGCGGCUCACUGGACCAUUACUGACGCUGAGGUGCGAGAGCGUGGGGAGCAAACAGG
rnacentral:rRNA from 1 species